rnacentral:rRNA from 1 species
UACGUAGGGCGCAAGCGUUGUCCGGAAUUAUUGGGCGUAACGAGCUCGUAGGCGGUUUGUCGCGUCUGCUGUGAAAACCUAAGGCUCAACCUUGGGCUUGCAGUGGGUACGGGCAGACUAGAGUGCGGUAGGGGUGACUGGAAUUCCUGGUGUAGCGGUGGAAUGCGCAGAUAUCAGGAGGAACACCGGUGGCGAAGGCGGGUCUCUGGGCAGUAACUGACGCUGAGGAGCGAAAGCGUGGGGAGCGAACAGG